rnacentral:rRNA from 1 species
GCCCGUGAUUUAAUUAAAUGUGUACCACCCGAUUCCAUUCCGAACUCGGCAGUGAAAGCAUUUAAUGCCGAUGAUACUCCAACAGGGGGAAAGUAGGUUUUGCGGGCC